CGAUGAAGAGCGCAGCCAACUGUGUGAAUUAAUGUGAACUGCAUACUGCUUUGAACAUCGACAUCUUGAACGCACAUUGCGGCCAUGGGUUAUCCCAUGGCCACGCCUGUCCGAGGGUCGG
rnacentral:rRNA from 1 species